rnacentral:rRNA from 1 species
GAUGAACGCUGACAGAAUGCUUAACACAUGCAAGUCUACUUGAAUUUGGGUUUUUAACUUAGAUUUGGGUGGCGGACGGGUGAGUAACGCGUAAAGAACUUGCCUCACAGCUAGGGGCAACAUUUAGAAAUGAAUGCUAAUACCUAAUAUUAUGAUAAUAGGGCAUCCUAUAAUUAUGAAAGCUAUAUGCGCUGUGAGAGAGCUUUGCGUCCCAUUAGCUAGUUGGAGAGGUAACGGCUCACCAAGGCGAUGAUGGGUAGCCGGCCUGAGAGGGUGAUCGGCCACAAGGGGACUGAGACACGGCCCUUACUCCUACGGGAGGCAGCAGUGGGGAAUAUUGGGCAAUGGGCGCAAGCCUGACCCAGCAACGCCGCGUGAAGGAAGACGGUCUUCGGAUUGUAAACUUCUUUAGACAGGGACGAAACAAAUGACGGUACCUGUAGAAUAAGCCACGGCUAACUACGUGCCAGCAGCCGCGGUAAUACGUAGGUGGCGAGCGUUAUCCGGAAUUACUGGGUGUAAAGGGCGUGUAGGCGGCACUGUAAGUCAGAUGUGAAAUCUCCCGGCUCAACCGGGAGCGUGCAUCUGAUACUGCAGUACUUGAGUGAUAGAGGGGAAAGCGGAAUUCCUAGUGUAGCGGUAAAAUGCGUAGAUAUUAGGAGGAACACCAGUGGCGAAGCGGCUUUCUGGCUAUUAACUGACGCUGAGGCGCGAAAGCGUGGGGAGCAAACAGG